GUGAGUAACACGUAGGCAACCUGCCCUCAAGCUUGGGACAACUACCGGAAACGGUAGCUAAUACCGAAUACUUGCUUCCUUCGCCUGAAGGGAGCUGGAAAGACGGAGCAAUCUGUCACUUGAGGAUGGGCCUGCGGCGCAUUAGCUAGUUGGUGAGGUAACGGCUCACCAAGGCGACGAUGCGUAGCCGACCUGAGAGGGUGAUCGGCCACACUGGGACUGAGACACGGCCCAGACUCCUACGGGAGGCAGCAGUAGGGAAUCUUCCGCAAUGGGCGAAAGCCUGACGGAGCAAUGCCGCGUGAGUGAUGAAGGUUUUCGGAUCGUAAAGCUCUGUUGCCAGGGAAGAACGUCCUUGAGAGUAACUGCUCAAGGAGUGACGGUACCUGAGAAGAAAGCCCCGGCUAACUACGUGCCAGCAGCCGCGGUAAUACGUAGGGGGCAAGCGUUGUCCGGAAUUAUUGGGCGUAAAGCGCGCGCAGGCGGUCAUUUAAGUCUGGUGUUUAAUCCCGGGGCUCAACCCCGGGAUCGCACUGGAAACUGGGUGACUUGAGUGCAGAAGAGGAGAGUGGAAUUCCACGUGUAGCGGUGAAAUGCGUAGAGAUGUGGAGGAACACCAGUGGGCGAAGGCGACUCUCUG
rnacentral:rRNA from 1 species